rnacentral:rRNA from 1 species
UCCGGUUGAUCCUGCCGGAGGUCACCGCUAUUGGGAUUCGAUUAAGCCAUGCGAGUCGAGAGGGUUCGGCCCUCGGCGGACUGCUCAGUAACACGUGGAUAAUCUGCCCUAAGGAGGAGGAUAACCUCGGGAAACUGAGAAUAAUACUCCAUAGGUCUAGAAGGCUGGAAUGCAUCUAGACUGAAAGCUCCGGCGCCUUAGGAUGAGUCUGCGGACUAUCAGGUUGUAGUCAGGGUAAAGGCCUGACUAGCCUACGACGGAUACGGGUUGUGAGAGCAAUAACCCGGAGACGAUAUCUGAGACACGAUAUCGGGCCCUACGGGGCGCAGCAGGCGCGAAACCUUCGCACUGUGUGAAAACACGAUGAGGGGAUCCCAAGUGCUUGCACGUAAGUGUAAGCUGUUUCUUUGUUUAAAAUGCAUAGAGAGUAAGGGCUGGGUAAGACGGGUGCCAGCCGCCGCGGUAAUACCUGCAGCUCAAGUGGUGACCGCUAUUAUUGGGCCUAAAACGUCCGUAGCCUGCUUGGUAAAUGCCUGGGUAAAUCGCAUCGCUUAACGAUGCGAAUUCCGGGUAGACUGUCAAGCUUGAGACCGGGAGAAGUUAGAGGUACUCCUGGGGUAGAGGUGAAAUUCUGUAAUCCUAGGGGGACCACCAGUGGCGAAAGCGUCUAACUAGAACGGGUCUGACGGUGAGGGACGAAGCCCUGGGGCGCGAACCGGAUUAGAUACCCGGGUAGUCCAGGGUGUAAACGCUGCUUGCUUGAUGUUAGUCGGGCUCCGAGCCCGAUUAGUGUCGGAGAGAAGUUGUUAAGCAAGCUGCCUGGGAAGUACGGCCGCAAGGCUGAAACUUAAAGGAAUUGGCGGGGGAGCACAGCAACGGGUGGAGCGUGCGGUUUAAUUGGAUUCAACGCCGGA